rnacentral:rRNA from 1 species
AUUGUGUCUUCGAGUCGUUGAUUUCACACUGCCGAGAAAAGCCUCUAGAUAGAAAAUAGGUGCCCGUACCGCAAACCGACACAGGUAGUCAAGAUGAGAAUUCUAAGGUGAGCGAGCGAACUCUCGUUAAGGAACUCGGCAAAAUGACCCCGUAACUUCGGGAGAAGGGGUGCUCUUGAGGGUUAACGCCCAGAAGAGCCGCAGUGAAUAGGCCCAAGCGACUGUUUAUCAAAAACACAGGUCUCUGCUAAACCGUAAGGUGAUGUAUAGGGGCUGACGCCUGCCCGGUGCUGGAAGGUUAAGAGGAGUGGUUAGCUUCUGCGAAGCUACGAAUCGAAGCCCCAGUAAACGGCGGCCGUAACUAUAACGGUCCUAAGGUAGCGAAAUUCCUUG